rnacentral:rRNA from 1 species
GGGAAUCUUGCACAAUGGGCGAAAGCCUGAUGCAGCGACGCCGCGUGGGCGAAGAAGGCCUUUGGGCCGUAAAGCCCUGUCGGGAGGGAAGAAGGAAGCGACGGUACCUCCAAAGGAAGCACCGGCUAACUCCGUGCCAGCAGCCGCGGUAAUACGGAGGGUGCGAGCGUUAAUCGGAAUCACUGGGCGUAAAGCGCGCGUAGGCGGCUUUUCAAGUCAGGGGUGAAAUCCCACGGCCCAACCGUGGAACUGCCUUUGAAACUGUAGAGCUUGAGUGUCGGAGAGGGUGGCGGAAUUCCAGGUGUAGGAGUGAAAUCCGUAGAUAUCUGGAGGAACACCGGUGGCGAAGGCGGCCACCUGGACGACAACUGACGCUGAGGUGCGAAAGCGUGGGUAGCAAACAGG